CCUUAUUAUACUGGGUUCGAGCACGGGGGCAACCUCACUCGCGAUCGAGCUAGUUUUUGAACGUGACAGCAUCUUUGACAGUGUGUUUCAGGUUUGUUUUGGAAUGUCUUCUGCUUAGUUCAAGUGGUUUGCGAUGGCUUCGAGCGGUGCUGAACCUCCUGCUGGUAGGAGCAGAGUCUUCGAGAGAGACAUGGACUGUGAUGCAGCUGCAGGAUUUUUUCAAGGCGCGGGAGAGAACGAUCUCGGGCCACAAACAGGAGUUACUCCAGAGAGCCAUCUUCUAUGAAGGUAACCGUGGUGCUGCGAAGUCACCAAGUCGCGAUCGCGAUCAGCAGCCCUGAAGUGGAAAAAUCGAUUUUCCAACGAUCUGGUUGGACAUCAGCCACUAAAGUACUUCUGAUUUGCCUGUAGUGACAACAGCAGCCAUCCUUGGACACCUUGCAAAGACAGGAAAAGCCACUGGUGGAAGCGACUGCUAUGAGGUGACGAUAGCAGUGGUGAUCGCUGUUUUGUCAAGUCGAAGGGCUAGCCAACCCAGAGGAAGCAUAAAAAAAAAACGAUGAGCAGUGCGUGGUAUUUGUUGAGCGUGAAGAGCUAGAGGAGGACAGUGCAAACACAUGGAAGGAGUGGAUGGUGUUUGAAGUGCUGUGUGCCGGCUGGUGGUGAUGGUGGUCUUUGUAAGCAUGUAUUCGUGCUGCUUCUUGUGCUGGAACACUUCUCGCCCAGGAAGGCAGAUUGCGUGCUCCCUGGCCCGCAGUCGGCAAUGGGGCAUUUGUUCCAGGAACAUUACCCCAGAACAUUACCCCACACCAGCACAGCAAGGACACUUCCGUUGACAGAUAUUGUUUACGCCUCAAGACAGCUGUUUCGUUUCUUCGAGCUCAUCGUUAGAGGAGGAUAGUAGCAGGAUAUUAAUGAUGAUAUAAUAUAAGAUGAUAGACGGUUUAUGGUCCGAUAUUGAUGAUUGGAGAUCUAAGAAAGCAAUGACAGUGAUUGCGAAAUGGAUAAUAUUAUCAUGAUUAUAUGCCAGUCUGGUAAUGCGUUGUACUGGUGGACAGUAUUGAAAUCAUCACUGCAUUCGAUGCAAAUAUUGGUAUACCUUGGUUUCAGUAUUGGAAAAAAAGAGUAAGAGAA